CCAAUAUGCAAAUUUAAAUGUGCCAGGACUCAGAUAUGAUUGGCUGGCUGAGAAGCCAUGAAGGUCCCAAUAUGCAAAUUUGAGUGUGCCAGGACUCAGAUAUGAUUGGCUGGCUGGGAAGCCGUCCAGGUCCUGAUAUGUAAAUUUGAAUAUUAGGACUGACUCCCUGGGGACCUGGCAGAAAUAUAUAGAAAUACAAUGAUUACCCAGAAAUCCUGCAUUUAGUAGAAAUACUAUGUUUUAGCACAAAUACUAUAAAAUGGCAGAAAUACUAUAAUUAAGCAGAAAUAUUAUAUUAAGUACAAAUCCUAUAAAAUAGCAGAAAUAGUAUGAUUUAGCAGAAAUGCUGUAUUUAGCACAAAUACUGAAAAGCAGCAGAAAUGCUAUGACUUAGCACAAUAGUAAUAACUUAAAUAGAAAAAUUGGAAAAGCAAAAUGGACAGCUGAAAAAAUCCUGAACAUGCUAAGGGUCCCUCAAAUGUAAUUGUGAAAUGAAAAAAAAAUCAGCAAAAAAAAGUAUAACAGUCACACAAUCACAAAUAUGGAAACAUAUGGAAACACACAUGCACAGAGAGACACACACAGGAUCAAAUUCAGUCAACCAGUCUAAAUAUAUUGAAUUUAAAUGACAGACAGACAGACAGACAGCAGCAUCAGCAAGUGAACAGGGGCUGUUAACAGCAUGUUUCUAGGUCAGUCAAGCAGCCUGGGAGCUGCUGAAUUUGAAUCCACCAAUCAGAGAGGCUGUGUACUUUUUCCCGCCAAAACAGGUGCAGCCGUUUUCACGUAUUUGUGCCAAAACAUAGUGUUUCUGCCAUAUUGUGGUACUACUACAUUACAACAUGAAUACGGAUUAAAGACGAAAGAAACUGGCACCAAAUUCCUCCACUACAAACCAGUCUGAUACCACUUCUUUGCAGUGUUCACGUUUACUAAGGCACUACCCAAAAGGCGCCACAAGAGGGCACUCCAACACAAGAGAUGACCUAUGUACACUGAUGCACUUAGUAACAGUCAGCCUCCUUGAAUUGGCAGAAAUACUGUGAUUUAGUAGUAAUACUAUGAUGUUGCAGACAUAGUAUGUUUUUGCACUACUCAUUUGUAGUGAAAAAAAUUAGCAAUAUAAAUUACAGGUCUGUGAAAGUGUAUAAAUUUGUAGUGAAAAAAAA
rnacentral:lncRNA from 1 species